GGCAGUAGAAAUCUUAUCUAUUUUGUCUACUACCUACAGAUUUGGACAAAGUGAUAUUUAUGUGUGGGAGCUGAGCCAACAAGGUGUAGUGCUUGUAUGCCACGUUUUUGAACCUUUAGUGUGCUGGCACUCUAGGAAUCCUCCUUCAUCAAGCGUGGAUGAGCUCCACUGCACCUGCCCCUAUAUUCAUUGCCUUGGACUGUACUCAGUUUAGCUUCCCUCCCCUGCCCUCAUGCUCUAGCCAAAGUUGCAGCUGGUACGUGGUAGUUCAUGUAUCCAUGCUGGUAGUAGCUCUUCUCCUCAGCCACCAGUGCAGUUUACCCUUGUUCAUCACAGCCAACUCCUGUGUUUGGUGACCACAACAGCAAUCCUUCAACCUCACCAUGGCCAGGGUUCGUGGAGAUUGUCUCGGUAUUGUUGUGCCCGUUCCUUGUUCCUCACAGGUGAUGAGGAGUACUCUAAGUGUUCCUGUGGCUGGAGGGCGUUUCCAGUUCUGGAGGAAGAUUAGCUAGGCUUGUGUAUAAGCUUUGGAGGGUUCCUACCUUCUUGCUAUUGUAAUAAGUUAUGCACUUUGAGUAUAUCAGGACUUGUAAUAAAUGUAACUCUUCCUAUGUAAUAAACUUCCGUUUUAGAAAUGAAAAUAAUGUUUUAUAAAGUAUUCCGCUCUUAUCUCCGAAGUGUGUGUGUAUCGAAUGUCAUUACUGUAAUAUGCAUGUAUGGUGGGAGAUCCUUGGGAUGAUGAGUUCAAGUUAUUGAACUCGUGAUAGUCUUGUUAAGUUACAUGGUACACGUGCAUAGCCAUCUGAGGCCAUCAAGGAAAGGAUUGGUGCAUGUGGGCCCGAUAACUUGGGAGGGCUGUCACAGCGUGAUAUCGGAGCGAUGCCCCAUUAUCAUGGAUAUUAAAGUAAUCCUUUGAUAGACUUCAAAAGGAUUUUGAGUCCAAAUUAUUUUGGAAAAACUUAAGAAUGAAUAAGCAAAUCCUGAUAGUCGAAGUGCAAAUAGUAUAUGGGUAAGUUAAGGACUAUAAGGUGGCUUAGUUUAGGAUGCUAACCACUAACCCGCAACUAUAAUGCAAUUUUCUGCAGGUACACUAACUAAACCCUAGGAAAGUGCGACUAGUAUUCCAUGACGGAGUGAGUAGGUAUGCCACCGCCAUAGAACGUGAAAGCCACUAUAUGUUGGCAAGAAUUGCGAGGACGAAUUGGACGAGCAUGCAUCAUGACAUACAAUUUUAAGUUAAGCCUCCUAUGUAGUAGCUUAGUACAUGUUUUAUCCAUCAUAUUCAUGCUACCUAUCUUUGUUUUUCUAUACUACCUUUUCCUAUUCGUGAAGCCUUGAAACCCAGUUCAUUUGGUGGACCUGUAGUUUAUAAGGUACAGUUGCCAAAGAAUUUUUCAACAGUGCACAACAUGUUCUACAUGUCCCAGUUAAAGAAAUGUCUUCGAGUCCCCAAGCAUGUUAUUGAGAUUUCAGAUGUUAACCUUGGACCAGAUUUAACCUACUUGGAAUAUCCCAUAAAGGUGUUGGAUCUAAAGGAUCGGGUCACUUGAAGAAAAACUAUCAAGUUUUACUAGAUAUAGUGGAACCAACACCCGGAAGAUAAACCAUAUGGGAAUCAAAGGAGUAUUUAGAAAAACAUUUUCCUGAGUUCUUAGUUUCUUCUAAGCCCUAGGUUUUAUGUAGUUGUUUUUUAUGUGAACCAACAAGGGUACACCCCUGUCUUGUAGGAGUAAUGGGGAAAGAAACUGGUGACGCGUUUCCUUUUCCAUUAUCUAGCCUAGAGUUUUAAUCUUGGGACGAGACUUCUUUUUAGGGGGAAAGACUGUAACACCCCUGGUGUUACGAUAACUAAAAGCAGUGUGGCUCCCAUUCACUGCUCUCCGGUAGACAUGGAAAUGGUAACCCAGAUUUUUCCUUGCAAAGUUGAAACACUUCCUCUUAAAUAUCUCGGGCUGCCUCUUUCCCUCAGGAAGCUAAGCAAGGAGCAGCUGCAACCGCUAAUCGAUAGGCUUGCUGACCUCUUACCUAAUUGGAAGGCCGACCUGAUGACUCGAGCUGGCAGAGCCAUCCAGGUGCAACAUGUGCUCACGGCAACAGUUAUAUACCACGCCAUGGCAUUGGAUUUACCUAAGUGGGCUAUCAAAGCCAUUGACAAGAUUAGACGUGGCUUUCUUUGGAAAGGACGUAAGGAUGUGCUCGGUGGCCACUGCUUAGUCGCUUGGGGCAAAGUGACACGCCCAAAGGAGCUUGGUGGGCUUGGCAUCUCAGAUUUACAAAAGCUGAAUUGGGCCCUUCGGGUUAGAUGGCUGUGGUUGGAAAAAACGGAUCCCUCGAAGUCUUGGGCUGAUUUACCUCUCCAGAGUUCCAGCAUUCUGAAAUCUAUCCUCUCUACAGCUUUGAUUACAGAAAUUGGUGAUGGUCGUAACACCUUAUUUUGGAGGGACAGAUGGUUGAUGGGGUUGAGGAUUGAGGAUCUAACUCCUCAUAUUUUUGCCAUCGUCCCGACCAGGAUUACCAAUAGGAGAACGGUGGCUGAGGGUAUCGUGGAGAUGGCUUGGAUUCGGGACCUGAGAGGCACCAUCACUUGGGAUAUCCUCUCGGAUUUUUUAACUCUUAGUGAAGUCAUUGCAGAUUACUCCAUUAAUGUUGGAGUGCCAGACAAGCAUAUCUGGAAAUUCUCCCCGACAGGCCAAUACUCUUCAAAGUCGGCUUAUGAUAUGUUAUUUCUUGGUUCCACUUCCUUGAGAGCAUAUGAGCGCAUUUGGGAAUCUUGGGCACCUUCAAAGUGCAGUUUCUUCCUUUGGCUUGUCAUGCACAACAGAUGCUGGACCGCAGACCGUCUUGCUAGAAGGGGGCUGCCCCACCCCAGUGUGUGCCCCCUUUGCGACCAAGAAGAGGAAACAAUACAACAUCUUCUCAUCUCUUGCGUCUUUGCACGACAGUUCUGGUAUUCCUUGUUAAGCAGGUCUGGGUUGCCUAACCUUUCACCAGAUAAUGCUAGUUGCAGCCUUGAUGACUGGUGGAGCAGAGCUGUGGAGAAGAUUCCCCGUGACCUCCAAUCCGGCUUCAAUUCUCUAGUUAUUCUUGGCGCUUGGUGCCUAUGGCGUCAUCGCAACGACUGCGUGUUUAAUGGGAGAUCGCCAAGUCUGGCGAGUGCUCUCACCCUCGCUGGCGAUGAGCUCAGGAUGUGGUGUAGUGCCGGGGCAAAAGGGCUGAACCUGCUUUCAACUCUUAUGUUUAUGCUUGACCCAGGGGGAUAGACUAGUGGCUUGUUCAGAGUGGUUGUGUGUGGUUUCUGUGUUGCGUCUUGUGUCUUGUUGUGUCAUGUGUGUGUGUGUCGUGUCAGGUGUGUGUCGGGUGUGGUGUGUUGUACCUUCUUCUAUCUAUUAAUGGAAUGAUACGCAGAUCUCCUGCGUGUUCGAGAAAACGAUAACUAAAAAUUUUGCAUGUCAUCGUCUGCACUUGCAUUAACUGCUUGAUACACCUAGAAUGCAUUCACUAGGUCAAAAAAUUUCAAUGAAUAUGGUGUUGUGUAUUAGAGUAUAGGGCUCAGAUUAAGAACUUUGCUUAAGACAUGGGAAGAGAAGUCGUCUCUUGAGCAAGUAAUAAGUUGGCUUGGAAUUUAAAGUAUUAAAGGUAAGUCUUAGGACCAAGAGCAACUUUGCUUUCAAAGGUGGGUUAAGUGGAAGAAUUAAUUGAGGAACUAGAUUAACCUUAAAAACCUUAAGUGAGAUUUCAAAACCUUGCUUGGAAUUGUGGAUAAACAAAACAACUCCUAAACCAAGAACACUUUGGACAUGAGCUUCAUAUACUAGAGUUGGAUUUGAGAUUAAGGAGUCACUUGUCUUUUAGGAGUAUGGAUUGAGUUCGUAAAUCAAUAGAUGAGGAGUUACAUUUGAAACCCUAAACUAGCGCAAAAGUGUAAUUUAAAAUUUAGAAAGGACUGGUUAAAAGUUCAUAUACCAAAGUUGUAGAGCUUGGAAAAGUGAAUAACUUUAUUAUUUGAAGAUUCCCAAGUUGUCUGGAAGAUUUUGGAGUUAAGUACAAAAUUCAGUUUUGGGUUCAUUUUGAAAUUGCUUAAAAUAAUAUAAACUAGUCAAAUUUGAACCCUUGUAACUUCUAAUAUAAAACCAUUUAGAAGAUGGUCAUUAUAACAAAGUUAUAGGGCCACAUGAGGAGUAUAAGUUUGGUUGAGUCACCUAGCCCUAAAGCUAUUUGGAACAUGGAGAAAAACUAAUCCAAAGUAGAGCUAACAGAGUUUCUGGAUUUCAGACUUGGUAGAAUUCAGAGUCUGAAUUUCAGCAAUUGGAACAAAUUUUGAGCUAUUGUAGUUUGGAAUGCAAGAGGUUUUGGUUAAUGACCACUAUAGCAAACUUGUAGAAUAAGUAUAAGAGAACAACUGUUAUUAAGUGUCACAGCCCUGGAACUAUAUACAACUAGGAGAAAAAGAUGAUCCAAAGUGAGGCUGUCAGACUUUUGAAUUUCAAAUUGUGAACAGUGUCUGAAAUCAGAUUUCUGUCUUUUGAUAGCUGUUUCAGAGCCUGUUUGUGGCUGAUCUAGAAGUUUUGGUCUGUGAUGUUUAUGAAGGAAGUAAAUACCAUAUGAUAGUGAACAAAUCUAAUAAAGUGGCUUUGACUUGAUUCCACACAGAAAAUGGAGAAAAACUUGUUCAAAGUUGGACUGGCAGACAGUGUUUCAACUGAACUUAGUUCAGUUGAGAACUGAAAUUGCAGCAGGAUGCCUAGUUUAGAGAUCAUUUGUGAUUAAUUCAGGUGGUUUUAGACUAAGGUUUCCAUAGUUAAGUAAGAGACCAUAGUAAAUAGAACAAGUCUCCUUAAAUAAGUAUAGCUUGGUGCUACAAAAAAAAGGAGUAACGGCUGCUUAAUGUGGUACUGUGUUAGGUGGCUGAAACUGAAUUAUAUUCAGUUAUUGAAAACGGAAUUUCAGUGAAAGGUGCUGAGUUUGGAUCCCAUUUGUGACUGAUUUGUGUUGAUUUAGACUAAGGGUUCCAUAGCAAAGUUGUAGACCAUAGUAAAGUGAACAAGUUUGCAAAAGUAAGAUGGACCUGGUUUCACAUAAAAAGUGGAGUAAAGUGUGCUCAAAGUUGGUUUAUCAGGUGUUGGGAUUCAGACAGUAUAAAACCAAAGUCUGAAUAUGUGUGUUUUUACCCAACUUUGGGGCCUUGGCGUAAUAAAUCCAAAGAGAUUUGGGUUAAGAGUCUGUAUCAAAAUUAGAGACCAGUUGUAGAUAAACAUGUUUUGUGCAAAGAGUGGGCUUGCUACUGUAUGGAAUUUAGAGAAUAGCCUGCUACAAAAUCCUCUGUCAGACUUAUUGGGGGUUGUUUCAGUGCACUGAAAAUCUGUUUUAGGGUUGUGUUUAAUUAACUUUAGAGCUCUCUAGGAAUUGAUCCAUGGGGUUGUGAGCUAUACUCUAUAUAAAAAGUGGAAUACCUUAUGUUGGUGUAUAUGUUUUGUGUGGUGAGAGUGGCUUGGUGCUACAUGAAAAAGGGAGUAAAAUACCCCCAAUAUUCCUCUGUCAGUGAGAAUGAAGGAUGGGGAGGUGUGUUGGCUCAGUUCAGUAACUGAAACUAGUUUCUAUGUUUUCUGUCAGGAAUUGGGGAUAUUUUGUACCUAAUCUAAGGAGUUUUAAGCUAAAGUCCCUAUAACCAAAUGAAGUCCAUAGAGUAGUGAACAAAUUCUCUUAGGAAGGUGGGACUUGGUGCGGUACAAAACUGGGAGUAAGUUGUGUCAGAAAGUUCCCUGUCAAGUUGAGGUUGUGCUGUUCAGUAACUGAAAAUUGGAGGUUUCAGUGAUCUGUUGCUGUGUUUGGGGCACCAUAACUUUUGAUCCAGGGUCAUUUGGCCUUGGGUUUUUGCAACAAGCUUGUGGAGCUAUGUUGGAUGAACAAAUUCCUUGAGGUGAGGGAGACUUGGAUACACAGAACUGGGAGAAUAGGUGUCCAUAUUGUUCUCUGCAGUUGUGCUGUAUUUUGUGACUGAAACAGAAUGUAGUGAGAUUUGGCUAAGUUUGGAUCACCACAACCUUUGUUCUAUAUGAUUUCAGCCAUGAGUUUCUAUGCAAAACAGGUAGAGAUAUCCAUGGAGAAUAACUUUUGUGAAGGGAUAGUGGUAUGUUACUAAAAGAAAUUGGGCGAUCAAUGCAGCUAAACAAGGAAAUGUGCAAGGGGGCAGUGUUGACUGAUUCAUUAAAUUCAGAGGACUGAAACUGUGUUUCAGUGAUGUGUGGCCAACUUCAGAGCCACAUAACUUGUGAUCUACAUAUUUUGGGUCCUGUAUUUUUAUAGUAAACCUGAAGAGCCAUGGUUGGGGAACAAAUUUGUUUAGGAAUGCUUGAGCUAUCCUUGUUUGGAAUAGAGAGAAAAAGGUGUUCGAACUAUGUCUAUCAGGCAUGGAAAUGCAAACCUGAAUCAGUCACUAUGGAUUUGGUUCAGUAUUUUUCUCCUGACUUUGGAGCUGUUUAGUGUCAGAUCUAAGGAUUAUAAGGCUUUAGUCUGUAUGGAAGAUUGAUAGUGAGUUAGUUGGUGAACAAGGUUCCUUAAGGUCGGUUCCCCUGUUGUUGCUUGGAGCUGGGAAAAAUAAAGGGGUGAAGCUGUGAACUCAGUCAAACAGCAGCAGUUCAGUGUACUCCAAAAAUAUCUGAAGGAGAUCUUUUUAUCCCUGCUGGCUGCACUAGCGUGUAGAAAUGAAGAUAAGGUUGUAGUGAAUAGUUGAAGGUCCUAGAGCUCUCACUCCCCACUAAAAUAUCCAAUUUGGACUGCAUGGGGGGGGCAGUGGGCAGUAGAAAUCUUAUCUAUUUUGUCUACUACCUACAGAUUUGGACAAAGUGAUAUUUAUGUGUGGGAGCUGAGCCAACAAGGUGUAGUGCUUGUAUGCCACGUUUUUGAACCUUUAGUGUGCUGGCACUCUAGGAAUCCUCCUUCAUCAAGCGUGGAUGAGCUCCACUGCACCUGCCCCUAUAUUCAUUGCCUUGGGCUGUACUCAGUUUAGCUUCCCUCCCCUGCCCUCAUGCUCUAGCCAAAGUUGCAGCUGGUACGUGGUAGUUCAUGUAUCCAUGCUGGUAGUAGCUCUUCUCCUCAGCCACCAGUGCAGUUUACCCUUGUUCAUCACAGCCAACUCCUGUGUUUGGUGACCACAAUAGCAAUCCUUUAACCUCACCAUGGCCAGGGUUCGUGGAGAUUGUCUCGGCAUUGUUGUGCCCGUUCCUUGUUCCACACAUAACACCUAGAAGAAGUGGUGUUUGAAGGAGGAGUCUACUCCAGUGGCUACUGAUCAAUUGGAGGAGCCAUCUAACCGGGUAUUGGGUGGAAAGGUCUUUAGCCUCUUCUCUGCAACAAAGGUGAUGAGGAGUACCCUAAGUGUUCCUGUGGCUGGAGGGCAUUUCCAGUUCUGGAGGAAGAUUAGCUAGGCUUGUGUAUAAGCGUCGGAGGGUUCCUACCUUCUUGCUAUUGUAAUAAUUUAUGCACUUUGAGUAUAUCAGGACUUGUAAUAAAUGUAACUCUUCUUAUGUAAUAAACUUCAGUUUUAGAAAUGAAAAGAAUGUUUUAUAAAGUA